CCAAUGUGGCAAAUAUUUUAGACCCUCUACGGUGCCAAACAAUAGUACAACAGCCGGUGUACAAACUUAUUUUUAUAUACUACCGAGGAAAUGUUUGGACUGCUUGAAGGUUGGCUGGCAGUGGACCCACGACCACAGUUUUGGACUCAUUGAUGGCCGUCGGCAGCCGUAAAAGCUGGAUUCUUUUCUGCUCCCUUUUAAAAAUAUUUCAACCCUCGUUAACUCCUCCAUGAGUGCAUUUAUA
rnacentral:lncRNA from 1 species